AGAACGAACGCUGGCGGCAGGCUUAACACAUGCAAGUCGAACGGGCACUUCGGUGUCAGUGGCAGACGGGUGAGUAACACGUGGGAACGUACCCUUUGGUUCGGGAUAACGCAGGGAAACUUGCGCUAAUACCGGAUACGCCCUUUUGGGGAAAGGUUUACUGCCGAAGGAUCGGCCCGCGUCCGAUUAGCUAGUUGGUGUUGGUAACGGCUCACCAAGGCGACGAUCGGUAGCUGGUCUGAGAGGAUGACCAGCCACAUUGGGACUGAGACACGGCCCAAACUCCUACGGGAGGCAGCAGUGGGGAAUAUUGGACAAUGGGCGCAAGCCUGAUCCAGCCAUGCCGCGUGAGUGAUGACGGCCGUUAGGGUUGUAAAGCUCUUUCGCGCACGACGAUAAUGACGGUAGUGCGAGAGAACGCCCGCUAACUUCGUGCCAGCAGCCGC
rnacentral:rRNA from 1 species